rnacentral:rRNA from 1 species
UACGUAGGGUGCGAGCGUUAAUCGGAAUUACUGGGCGUAAAGCGUGUGCAGGCGGCGCGUUAAGACAGGUGUGAAAGCCCCCGAGCUUAACUUGGGAAUUGCGCUUGUGACUGGCGUGCUGGAGUGUGGCAGAGGGAGGUGGAAUUCCACGUGUAGCAGUGAAAUGCGUAGAGAUGUGGAGGAACGCCGAUGGCGAAGGCGACUUACUGGACACAUAUUGACGCUGAGGUGCGAAAGCGUGGGGAGCAAACAGG